UCAACAUAUUCCCCCCAAAACUCAAAGGACUUGCUUGGAUUCUCCCUCCUUAUACUCAACAUUCCCACUCAAACACUAUAGUGUGUGCUGCCUUGUUAAUCUUGCCACUAGUGAAGAAAUGUGUGUGAGACAGGAUGCCCAGGAAAGAAGCUGUAUCUACUCUGAUCAGAUGGGAUGUUGUACUCAGUGGCAGAGCACUUGCCUCACAUAUGCAAUGUUCCAGGUUCAAUCCCCAGUACCAAUUUUUUUUAAAUUAACAAAUAUGUUGUGAAUGUGUCUCCUCAGUGGCUAAGAUCACUUGUUGCUCUUGCAUAGGACCAGAGUUUGGUUUCUAGGUGACUCAUAAUCACCUACAACUCUAUCUCUGGGGGAUCUGAUGCACUCUUCUGGCCUCUGUAGACAUCCAUAGUCACUUGUGUAUAAAUACAAACAUGUGCACUUAAAAUAAUAAAGUAAGUCUUUUAAAAAUAAUUUUAAAAACUUCAAAAGAAAUGUAAACUCAAAAGACCCUAAGCCAGAGAUCAAGAAAAUGAAAUGUGCACCCUCCCAAAAGGCAGCGUUAUCAGUCCUGAGGAUGGCUCUGCAAAGUAAUCCUUCUCUUCCCUGCCCACACAGGCCCUGGAGAUGCCUUCAUACAAAACACAUUAAAGGAGAUAACAUAUGUAAAGCAGCCAGUGUGGAGCCCAGCAGAUAUUAGGGAUUCAAUAAAUAUUAGUUCCUAUCCCUAUUACAAAGAACAGGGGCUACAGUAUUUGUAUAAUUCUUUGGCCAUUAUCAUUGUGUAGCACAGUGAGAAGUAUGUGCAUAAUUAAAUAUGUAUCACUAUGGUAAUUUUGUUUUUAAAUUUUAUUGAUAACAUCAUUAUCUACAUUAUGUAAGCUCAGAGUAGUUUUUGCUUAUGUGGCAUGGCUUUCUGUUCAUAACCUUACUUUUAAAAAGGCACAUUGAAGAGAAAAGCAGUUUAAUAACUUCUUAGAACAGUUCCUUCUGUGUAAGCCCCAAUGAACCCACAUCCUCCACCUUUUUCUCCCCAACAAACUUACCUCCUCUAUACAUUUUCUCCCCGCCCCCCAAUGACAUUUUCUCUUUUGAACCCCUUUAAAAAUAAAAAUUUAAAAACAUUACUUUGUCACUGCUAGCAAAGACCAAGGAUUCUCCAGGAGUCUCCUCUUCCAUCUGUUUCUGGAUACAUCAAUGCAUGGUGUAGUUCAGUCUUACACUACACACCCCUGCUCUCACUAUAAGAGCUGAUGCUUCCCUGCCAGAACAACGUUUGAUUCAAACUCAUUGAUCAAAACACUAGCUGGAGGUGAAUGUGAGCUGUGACACCAAACCACAAGGAGCUAAAAGCAAUCACACCUAUUUAUCAAUAUCUGAGACCAGAAGAAAACAUUAGCAUCAGAUUGAAAAAUAGCCAGACCCCUCAAGCUUGAAAGCAGACAUUAGUGAAUAAUCCCAGAGCUGAAGUUGACAUUGGGCUUGUGGGGAAAACAUGUAGAACUCUCCAUUAUGAUCUAGAUGGGAAUUGUUCUUGUUUUUUAAAUCUAGGAAGUCACUGACGGUAAUUUAAAACAACUCCUCUACUGUAUUUACUAAUGAAAACAAUCUUCUUGACUCAUAACUUAUGUCAGAAAAUGACAAUAUCCACAUGUGUGCACAUGUGCAUACAGAAGUGCAUGUUCAGUGUUAGUGGGGGCUGGAGAUCAGUGUUGGUCACUUUCCUCAAUUUGUCAUAGUCUUAUUUCUGAGAACUGGAAUCUUACUGAAACCGAUUCAUGAAUUUAUCCAGUCUAGCUAGAGGCCAGUAAGCUUCAAGAAUCCCCCUGUCUCUGUGCCCCUGGCACUGAGAUUGCAGAUGCAUGCCACAAUGCCCAGCUUUCAGCAUGGGUACAGGGAUCCAUACUCAGGUCCUCUUUAUUGGAUGCCAAUCAUACUAGCUAAGCCUAGGCCCAGUCCUGAAGAAAGCUUUAAAAGUGCUCAUCAUAGAAUUUACACAAGUGAGGAGAUAAAGUUGCUGGCCUGGUUAUUCAAGAAUAUCACUUGAUACUGUUUUAAAUUGAAAUUUAAGUGGAAAAUAAAAUCAUUCUCAAUAGACAUUAACAUGAAUACACACUCCUGCAGCCACACCAAAAAGAAGCUAUUUACAGUAGUCAUUCUCUACCUCUUGUAUUUCCAAGUCCUAUGAAAGUGAAAGCUACCAUUUCUUUGUUUGUGUGGGUAUGUUGCAGCUCUGUGUGAAGCUCUUCAGUGAUGACUGAGUCCCAAAGAUAUAUCAAUCUUUACCCCCUGGUGCUAGAUUUAUAUUCAUAUGCAAUCACAUCUGGCUUUUCACAUGGGUAUUGGAUAUCCACACUUAGUCCUCAGAUUUGCACAGCAAGUAUUUCACUAACUGAGCUAUGUUCCCCAGCCUACAGCAUUCUAGUUAAGACACUCACACUUCCCAUAUCAUAACUGUGUGGGCCUUUAGUAUACAUAUUUCCAGUCACACUAAAUUAAAAAUAGAAAUGGCAAGAAUAAGAACCCUGUAGCUAGCUAGAAUUACCAGGGUGGUAAAACAAAACAAAACAAAACAAAACAAACACCUCUACAAAUUGAUAAAUAUUAUAAUAGAUAUCUCCAAAACAAUUUUAAAUUCUAACUGUAGUAUCUUAAAAUAAAGUAAUUCUUAAUUCUGAGAAAGAAUGACCUAGACUGAAUAUUCAUUAUUGAGUGAACUUUAAUAGUUUGCUUAAAAAGUAACUAUGUAGGUCUGACCAGAUGGCUUAGACAAACCUGAGUUUAAGUCCAGAGAAGAAGAAAAAUGAAUCCC
rnacentral:lncRNA from 1 species